rnacentral:tRNA from 1 species
UUGACCGUACGGUCGGCGGUGACGACGACCCUGUUGCUGACCGGGUCGACGGCCCAUGAGGUGCCGGGGAUCGCGGCCUUGCCGGCCAGG